GGCACUCACUAUUGUAAGUCGCUCUGGAUAAGAGAAUCUGCUAAAUGACAAAAA
rfam:Salmo salar isolate Sally breed double haploid chromosome ssa01, whole genome shotgun sequence.